rnacentral:lncRNA from 1 species
AAGCAACUGUGUUAAUUAACCAGUUAAUUCUGGAUGUGUGGUGAUGUCCCUGAUGGCAAACCAAGUCAGGGAGGGAGGGGAAACAUAUCGCCAUCCCCUUUACAAUAGUUUGUUGAAAGCAAAACAGUACAUGUUGCUUCAAUUGCCUUGGCAGUAGCGACAACUUUCCUUUUUCCUUUGAAAAUUGUGUCUCACUUUACAGAAGCUUACUAAAAUCAUGAUGGCUGGAGAACAUGUCCUAUUUCCAAGAGAGGAGGAUAAUCACAGAAUGAAUGCCAACCAUCACUAAGCAACCACUAGCAUCCUGCCAUUUUCCUUCCAAGAAUGGAAAGACUGUCUCUUCAGCUUGGGUUAGGUGGAUAUCAAGUGGGCUGGGAAGAAUAGGCAGCUCUUGGACGCCUCAGCAGAGAAACACUGGCAAUUCAAAGUGUGAGAGAGCCUCUUUCGUUUUGUGCUUCAUUACCACAAACUGUUUUACCCAAAACAGAAACUAAAUUCAAGACACAAAGAAAAGUAGGAGACUGACUGAAGAACCUGCGGUAUGCACCCUAUCUUCCUUCAGUCUGAAGCAAGGUGAUGGAAUUUACAAAUCAGAUAAUACAUGAUAUGAGCUUCAACUCUCCUUGGAAAAUAUAAAAAUAACUUCUGCAUGGGGGCGGCAGGGAGGGGGUAGGUUCUUUGACUUCUUCCUCAGCAAGCUGCGCUGAAAAUAAGGAAAACAUUCGCUCUUCGUAGCUUUGUAUCUUUCAUUGUUGUUUGGUUGAAAAUAAAAUGCAGAAUUGACAAGUGGACUCA